GGAGAGAUGGCUCAGUGGUUGAGAGCACUGGCUCUUCUUCCAGAGGCCCUGGGUUCAAUUCCCAGCACCC
rfam:Cricetulus griseus cell line CHO-K1, whole genome shotgun sequence.